rnacentral:tRNA from 1 species
GUCUCAGUAGCUCAGUGGUAGAGCGGUCGGCUGUUAACCGAUUGGUCGUAGGUUCAAGCCCUACCUGGGACG